rnacentral:rRNA from 1 species
GACGAACGCUGGCGGCGUGCCUAAUACAGCAAGUCGAACGCACGAAGUUGAAGAGCUUGCUCUUUAACCAAGUGAGUGGCGGACGGGUGAGUAACACGUGGGUAACCUGCCCCAUUAGAGGGGGAUAACAUUCGGAAACGGAUGCUAAUACCGCAUAGUUUCAGGGAUCGCAUGAUUCUUGAAGGAAAGGUGGCUCCGGCUACCACUAAUGGAUGGACCCGCGGCGUAUUAGCUAGUUGGUGAGGUAAUGGCUCACCAAGGCAAUGAUACGUAGCCGACCUGAGAGGGUGAUCGGCCACACUGGGACUGAGACACGGCCCAGACUCCUACGGGAGGCAGCAGUAGGGAAUCCUCCGCAAUGGACGAAAGUCUGACGGAGCAACGCCGCGUGAGUGAAGAAGGUUUUCGGAUCGUAAAACUCUGUUGUUAAAGAAGAACAAGGAUGAGAGUAACUGCUCAUCCCCUGACGGUAUUUAACCAGAAAGCCACGGCUAACUACGUGCCAGCAGCCGCGGUAAUACGUAGGUGGCAAGCGUUGUCCGGAUUUAUUGGGCGUAAAGCGAGCGCAGGCGGUUCUUUAAGUCUGAUGUGAAAGCCCCCGGCUCAACCGGGGAGGGUCAUUGGAAACUGGAGAACUUGAGUGCAGAAGAGGAGAGUGGAAUUCCACGUGUAGCGGUGAAAUGCGUAGACAUGUGGAGGAACACCAGUGGCGAAGGCGACUCUCUGGUCUGUAACUGACGCUGAAGCUCGAAAGCGUGGGGAGCAAACAGG